GGUAAAGUGACAGAUAGGCUAUGUAGAAGUUUGCAAAACUUUGUAAGCUGGUUCAAUUCCAGCCUUUACCU
rnacentral:tRNA from 1 species